GACGAACGCUGGCGGCAUGCCUAACACAUGCAAGUCGAACGGAGAUUAUUUCGGUAAUCUUCGUGGCGAACGGGUGAGUAACGCGUGGGCAACCUGCCCUCUAGAUGGGGACAACAUCCCGAAAGGGGUGCUAAUACCGAAUGUGACAGCAAUCUCGCAUGGGGAUGCUGUGAAAGAUGGCCUCUAUUUAUAAGCUAUCGCUAGAGGAUGGGCCUGCGUCUGAUUAGCUAGUUGGUGGGGUAACGGCCUACCAAGGCGAUGAUCAGUAGCCGGUCUGAGAGGAUGGACGGCCACAUUGGGACUGAGACACGGCCCAGACUCCUACGGGAGGCAGCAGUGGGGAAUCUUCCGCAAUGGGCGAAAGCCUGACGGAGCAAUGCCGCGUGAGUGAUGAAGGAAUUCGUUCCGUAAAGCUCUUUUGUUUAUGACGAAUGUGCAGAUUGUGAACAAUGAUCUGUAAUGACGGUAGUAAACGAAUAAGCCACGGCUAACUACGUG
rnacentral:rRNA from 1 species